UUUAAAUUAUUUAUGUGCCUAAUUUGUAUUGUUUAUCUGUGUUAUGCUGUAAAAAAUGGAUUGCACAUUCAAAACUCACCAGAGUGCCUGCAGAGUUUAAUGAAGGCGCAACUGAUAUGCUGCUGCAAAUGCCAGCUGGUUUCCACAAUAAAAAAUGAGAUGAGAUGAAAAAAAAAUAAAAAAUUCUUCCUGAGCUCAUGCCUAUUUUGAAAUUAUUAUUAAAAGGCAGCUCCAAAACUGUGCUAGGAAAGUGGACAGAUGAGUACCAAAGACAUUUUGCUGUCCUUAUGAAUGUCCAUUAAUAAAGGACAAUUAAAAAAAGUUAAAUAUAUUACAACCAAAACAAUAUUUUCAUACAGAAAAAAAAUUUUAAACUUACAGACAGGCACUGAGGUGAGGAAGGCUUGGUAUGUGGAUGUCAUGAUGGUACAAAAGAAAUGCUAUGAGGGGUGGGUGACCCAUAGGUUAAAUAUGUCGUUUGUUGAAUGGGAUUUAAAAAUUGAAAUGGAGUUGAAGAAGAUAUAAGGGAAAAAAAUGGGCAAUAGAGAGUAGAAAUACCAUAGGAUAAGAGAGGGCAGCAACCCAGCAGGAGCAGACCGUUGAUGUGCUAUGUAUCAUUGGCAGCAGCAGAGCGGAGUGCUGAACUCCUAACCUGGGGGGUAAUGGUCCGUAUUUAUCACGCAGAGCAAGUGGUAUGAGAGAGGAGUGCGUCCAUCAAUAAUUGUGAUGACGCUCAAAGAGCAAAGAAUCACUAAAACUUUGCAAAGAAACAUCCUUUGAACAGGUGGGGUGCAGGGGUGGGCAGCGUGGUACGCGCCUGUGGGCUGUGCCCGCUCCCUCAUCCUCCUCCCAGGGAUGCUCCGGUCCCGUCUGGCGGCUGAGUUGGUGCCAGGUGUCCCCAGCUGCAGCCCCGGGGUGCAAAGACACCUCCUUCCCAGUGGGGCAGUGAAAGCCUUCAUGGAGCCACUAACCCAGGAGAGAGAGGGAAAACGUGUGUUUGCGUCCUGUCCCCCAGCCUUUUGCAUCCUGCUCUAGGUCAUUUCAGCCACAAUUGUCAAACUAAUUAGGAGAAAACAAGACCUGAUUUGAAUCCCCAAACUGAGACUGCAGCCUCGUCAAAUUUCUUCGGUUGUCAGUAAUUUAUGUUUUCUCUUGGGUUUUUUUUGUUCUUCUAUCUAUCUGGUUUGAGCUGUCUGCAGGAGGGGAAACAAGCCCACUCUGAGGAUAUUUCUGAGGUAUUACCUCUAAUGGACCAGGAUUCAAGUCUGUCUAUUCACAUUAAAAAGCAGCUGAUCUUGUUAAAAAGGCUAGUACUGCUGCAGAUACUCUUCGGAUGUUUAUCUAAUGUGGCGUUGAAUUUGGUGUGUAAUGUCUGAGGUGUGCUGCCAGUGAUGGAUUCAGGUUGCAAUCUCUGCAGGGGAGGAAGCUGAGUCUUUUUCUGUAUGCAAAUUGCUGACAAUGUUAAUGGCCAUCAGCUCAGAAAAAAUAAUCCUGCUAAUAAUGCCAGCACUAGUUUCUCACCUGUACCCCAACCUAUUCAUAUGAAAGAGGCGUAAUUGAAUGUAACGUCUUUGGGUUUGGUUUUGUUUUGUUUUUUCACAUUUAUGUAGAAAUGUUCAUCUUGCAGGCUUUAAUCCAAUUAAAUGCAUUUUUUUCUUUCUUUGCAGAGACAUGCAAAGAAUAAGAUGUUCUACCCAGGGACGUAUGGAUGUUAUAAGACCUGCAUAUUUGCAUGCCUUUGUUCUUAAAUUCUUUUAUUUUUUAAAAAAAAGUUAUUCCAUUUGAAGAGGAAUUUUAGGCAGCAGAAAUAUCAUUUACACGUAUAGUUGAACUCCAGAAACGCUGGCCAUGUGGUCUGGUACGCAGCUUGGCGGAUUCUUGUCUCACAACAUUCAACCUGCGCACUGGCCGUGAUUGCUUAAAUCCUUACCCGUCACAAACACUCCUGAGCUUGUGUCACCGAUCUGUUGUAAUACAAAGCCUCACUGUCUCUCUUCAUGGUCCAUCAAAUUUGAAGGUGCCUUACUGAUACUACUGGGAAAAAAAAAACCAACGCUGCGCCAACCCCGCGCACUUACAGAUGUCGCUCUCUGGGAUGGGUUUGAAACCGCUGUGGGACCGGAUUAUGCAGUUAAAUGAGUAAACCUAUCUGCUCUCAUUAAGUUGGUAAUAUUUACACUAAAUAAUACUUUCCGACAGAAAAGAAAAUGUCAGGGAUUUGCUAGAUCUUACUAUAUUUUCUAUGCAACGUUCACAAAAGGUUCAUAAAUGACCGCAUCAGAUCAGAUAAUGAGCAGCAGGAGACAAAGCAAAGAGUUUUGUACAGCAGUGAAGGAAAAGCAAGAAUUCCCAUGCCCAGCCAAAUGCUAUUGAUGAUGAAUGCAGGUAAUUCUGGGGUAAGUGCUCAACAAACCAAGCCCAGGGGUGAAAAGGGCAUUCCACGAGAAUUAAUGUAGUGUUUUAAUUGCACCUUAUUUCAUACAUACCUUCCCUGUUGCCUUUCAGUAUUUUUCCUUUCAAUUUUUAUUUUCAUUUUGUCUUUCUGCUCUUUCCCAUGCCUCGAUGGACUGCUGAGAGAGUGAAAAGUACCCAAAACAAAAUUACUUCCAAUGAGGACAGCAGCACUGAUAAAAGUACGUCUGGUCCUGCUCAGUGGAAAGAGAUUCCAUGGUAUUCCAAACCAGGUGCAAAGCAAGAGCAAGAGAUUUUAUGUAGGGGAUACCUUCGGAGCUGGAGUAAACAGCUGAGGCGGUGGCGGUCCCGCUGCCCGUGACGGUGGCCCUUCUCUGCCCCAGGGGUUGGGAUCUUCAGCUGAUCUUCAUUUGAUAAUUUUCAGCUCCUGAAUUUGCUCCAUCCUCUGCUCUUUACCUUCCCCAGAAGGCUGAAGAGGAAAUUACUGUAAAGAUCAAGAGACUAUCAAUAUUGCUUCCUGUCCUAAGAAAUUUGGCAAUAAAAUUAAGACUAUUACAACCUGGGUUUAAAAGCAACUUUUUAAUAACCCUUUUCAAUAUGAAGACAGAAUCACUAACGAAGCACAAGGCAAUUGCUAUACAAACUGGUUUCCACUACUGCAGCAAAGGAGACUACCAAAGAUUUCUCUUUGCCCACGCCCUCUCUUUAUUUAUGUACAAUAAAUUACACAAUCAAAAAAAUAAUAAUAAAUAAAUAAUCACAAAGCCUAUUGCACAAUUAAUUUCAGGAAUUACACUGGUUUGGUGUUUUUGUUUUUUAUAAUGCAUGUGAUGAACAGUUUUUAGAGAGCUACACAUCUGGUCACAUACAGAAAACUUAAUUAUUCUUUAUUUAAAGGGCAGUGGCAUUCUUCACCAGAUAACACACCUGUAGACUAUCUCCUUGGAGACUUGACUUCUUUCAGCCUAGAGUUCAUAACAAACUGGAAACCUUGAAGGCUGAUCUGUAAUGGCAAGAACAGGGUCACCACACGUGGGCAAGGAGCGACGAUCAAGCAGGCGUUGCGCGAGGCUGGACCUCCUCCUCCACUGCACCCCUCAUUACCGAAAACAUCGGCUGGUGUCAGAGUUGGAGGCUCAGACCCUUUCUUUGCAACUUUUCACCUCCUUUUUGCUGUGGAUGGAGCUGCAAUACUUGUACUACCAUACAGUGUUGGUUGCACCAGCAGAAAGUGGAGAGGUCAGGGCAAUAUGCAGGGUUUGCCUAUAGAGACCUGGUGAAGGCAAUCUGCCAUCACCUCCUUUUGGAGUCCAUCGCACCAGGAUGCUGGUGGGGGAGUCUUUUGGGUAUGUUACAAUGGUAUUUAAUAUGCCACAAGAAUAUCUGAGUCUAUAUGUUGCUGUAAAGCCCCAAAACCCACAGAGGAGCAUCAUGCAAACCAGCCAACCACGCUAUUUCACAACAGAUGAGCUUUAACCAAGCUACACGUAAACGCUGAGCUAUUUUUUAAUGAUCACCUAGAAACAGUGGUGGGGCACACCCUGAGUGAGGUGACAUCUGAGUGCAGUUGGGCUGCCCAGGAGUUACUCAGCAUCCAGAAAGAUUGCACAAACUACUUAGAAAAAUGCCUUUGAGACUUCCUUUUUCCAAAAAGAAUGGUACCCCGGCAGACUAUGAACAUCGAUUCUCUCCCCGUCAAAGAGGAAAAUGAUUUAUUGUCCAGAAUGAUGGUGACAGAAGUGUUUUCAGAUUACCGAGAGGGUUAUACACAAGAAGAAAAGAAUUCAAUUUGAGGUUUUACUUAAGAGGCAAAACCCAUUAAGGCCUGGUCUUUUCCCCACUGAUGUCUGCAGCCCUUUGCCAGUGCUUUCAAUGUCAGCAGGACUGUGCCUCUCUUACUGGUAAGGAAAGACUCACUCUGUGAUGAUUACAAAUGGAAAAACUGAAUAAUCCAUGCCGCUGAGAAAGUCCCACAACUAGGGAAAACUCUUUACAUCUGCUGCUGCUUUCACCAUCACCAUUUGAGCUGUUCCAUCUUGCAGACGUGUUUGCAGGGCUGGUCGGUGCCGCAGGGGCCAGCUCUGAUGCUCCCAGCUCCAGGUCCAGCGCUGUAAUUGGAAAGAGAAGAGCAGGUUAAGACGAACCCAUCAGAACAAAGAGCCAAAGGCAGCAAGAGACCAACCCUUGCAGCAAUGGAGUUAUCACAGCUUAGCUGUUUCCAGGUUGCAAUUUCCUGCAGACAUACAGGAAGAGUGGCGGAAAAAACAACUUAUACAUGCUUCGAUUAAAACCAUUGUCCUGAUCUUUGUGCCUUUCAAGAUGAAAAAAAAAAUCUGAGUAUCUAUAUCUGAAGCCGGGAGUGCAUUUUCCUUCUAAUUUCGCAAGACCUCCAUAGCUGCAAUUAGCUAUUGAGACCGUCUGUCUUCUUUUAGUCCCACCUAAGUAUUCAGCAGCAUUCAAUGUCAGUGCACAUUUAGCACCUCACCAUUUUCCUUUUCAGUUCGGUAACAGCAUCCCCCUAGAUGUCAGUGGGAACCGGAAUAGACUCUGGAAGGAGUCGUGAAUCUCUGUUAAGCUAAUUUUCUUGUCUACAGAGUUUUGAAAUAAUCACUGUUUUAAUCAUAUGAUAUUUCGCCAAGAGUUCUUUGUAACAAUCUAGUGCACUGAAACGUAUCACCAGAUGAAAAUUAUCAGAAAAAUUCACCGAAGUGCCAGAGCCAGCCCACUGAGUUGCUUUAAGAGCUGAUGGGGAAGGCGAGUGCUUGUGAAAAUGGAGAUGAGUGAUUUGAAUGGCCCUCAGAGGCCAGGGGUAAAACCACCAGCAAUCAGGUGCGAGAGGAAUAAGAGAAUACUGAAAAUUAAAGUACCUUGACGUGGGGGCAAGGAUGACUAAAAUGUUCUCUUUCGUUUUGAUGCCAUUUUUCUGGGCACGUGUUUAGGAACAGAAGAGACAUAAAAGAAUUAAAAUACUGAUUUUUCUCAGCAGGAAACAGGAGUCUACCCCACAACAGAAAUCUUUCACUAUAUUUUCACCAUAGUGAAAAAGUGACACCUCUCUUUCCAUUGACAAUAUUGUACUUGCCAAGCAAAAGUCAAGUCAAUAGCUAAUAGCUUCUUGAAACAUAAGGUCUUGACAUGUAACGUCUUUGCUUUCAGUUAAUGGAAACAGGCCAUCACAAGAGAACUCGACUGUACUCUGCUGGUCUAAUCCAUCUCAGAAACUGCUGAAAGACAGUAAUCGGGGUGAGUGGGAAUUGAGUAUGGCUGUCUGGGGCCAGACUUGGUGCCUAUGGCUUUGCAGGACAGAAGAUAGUGCGUUCUUGCAAAUUUAUUUGCAACACUUUGCCUGCUCCCCAUAAACUUAAUUUUGCUCAUUCGUACUUGCCCACUAGUAGCCUAGUCAUCCCUCAACCACAAAAUUUACCACCAAGAAUUAUGCAAAGGUUUGCUGCAGAAAGAUAAAGGACAAAAAAAAAAAAAAAAAAAAAAGAAAAAGGGCCACUUUCAGGCUUAUCAAAAUUGGAUAGAGAUGGUUUCAUCAGUGUGCUACUGCUCCCUCAGCCACGCUCUGACCUUGGGCAGGUAAUUUAUCUGGUCUGUGCAUCAGUUUUCCCUUCUACAGAAAGGGGGAAUUGAAUUUUACCUUAUAGGGGCAUGCUGCGAAGCUGCAGAGUUUUAAGGCUGACAGGAGCAGACCUAAUAAAGGGAGAAGAUACAAGUCCCUGAGGCAGACGCAGCUCUUAGGUGCAUUUCCCGGGAAUUUGCCCUAACAGUGCAUUUUACAAACAAGACCAGAAGGAUUUAAUAAAAAAAGAAGAGAGAAAGGGAAUAAGAGAGAGAGAGAGAGAGAGAAGGAAAGAAGGAAAGAAAGAAAAAGCUAAUUCUUAGUAAAAAUUAAACAUACAGAAGCAGAAAAAAACCACCUCUGGAACACUUGUCAAAUCUCUGCCCUCCUUGCUGGUUUUCUGGAGGAUUUUUUUUGGUGGGUGUUUUUGGGUUUGGUGCUUUUUCUCCCCAUUUUUUAAUGAUAAAAGUCUGAAAUGGCUAAAUAUCUUCUUUAUUUUGCCUCUCAACACUAAGACUAAUUCUCAAAUUCUGCACUUUCAAAGGCAUGAGAACCUCAAGAUGGGUCCUGCAGGAGUGAGGUGUGUUCCCUGACAGGGGGAGAGGGUGGCAAAGGGUGGCCACAUGCCGCCAAAUCACGUGUGGCCAGGAGACAGAGCAGUUAGUGAGACUAUACAGCUUUCUUGCAGUGAAGGCUCCCCAAAGGGUCCACUGAUAACGGCUGUUUUGACACACAGAAUCAUAAAUCCGUGCCGUGUUCUGCUCUUCUCGCCACCCCACUCCUCUUGGCUCUCCAGGUGACCGAGGGGUCCCUCUGAAAAAUCUUGUCCCAGAACGUUCACUUAUGGCAGUUUCUCGAGCAGCAUUGCUUGCCAGAUAUUAUUUCUGUUAGUUAGGCCUUUUGGCUGCUUGAUAUGCCGGAAAAUUCGCAUUUUUCUACUCUUUUUCUCCUGCUUUUGAGUUGUUGUAUUUAUUCAAGAUGAAAGCCAGAUGUUAUAUUAAUAAGAGAACUGCCUUUCCUAAAGGGAAACAUUCAUCAGUGCAGAAGCAGACGUUGUAGCUUUGCUGUGAAUUACUUAAAUUCCUCCUUUUUUUCUUCUGAACAGGAAAUCCAAGAAGAUGUAUUUGAAAGCAAUAGUAUUGUGACUGCAGAAUAAAAGCCAUUUACCCUAAUCCCUUUAAAAGUUGGUAAGAGGGAUUUAAGAGUACUGAAGUUUAAAAAUGUUUAAAUUUCAAGGAGAAACAAACAGAAACACCAAAUAUUUGGGAAAAAAAGAAUGUUUGGAUAUUUUACAUAGCAAAAACUUUUCAAAUACAACACAGAUGGUUACUAUCAAUCCAGCUGGAUUUUUUUUUUUUUUUGUGCCCAGUGGCUAUUGAUUUUCCUACAGAGGCUCUUCUCCUAAAGCCAGAGACUUAGCAUAAAUGAACCUAAAUGACACUUUACUUUUUACCGAAAUAAAAACAUUCUACAAAACAGCUCCUCCGGUAUUGUGCUGGACGGGUAUACUGUGAUUAUUUUGAUAGAGUGGGUGGGAUGGGAUGACUUGGGAACAAGCCAUUCAU